rnacentral:rRNA from 1 species
GAUGAACGCUGGCGGCGUGCCUAAUACAUGCAAGUCGAGCGAACAGAUGAGGAGCUUGCUCCUCUGACGUUAGCGGCGGACGGGUGAGUAACACGUGGAUAACCUACCUAUAAGACUGGGAUAACUUCGGGAAACCGGAGCUAAUACCGGAUAAUAUAUUGAACCGCAUGGUUCUAUAGUGAAAGACGGUUUUGCUGUCACUUAUAGAUGGAUCCGCGCCGCAUUAGCUAGUUGGUAAGGUAACGGCUUACCAAGGCGACGAUGCGUAGCCGACCUGAGAGGGUGAUCGGCCACACUGGAACUGAGACACGGUCCAGACUCCUACGGGAGGCAGCAGUAGGGAAUCUUCCGCAAUGGGCGAAAGCUUGACGGAGCAACGCCGCGUGAGUGAUGAAGGUCUUCGGAUCGUAAAACUCUGUUAUUAGGGAAGAACAAAUGUGUAAGUAACUAUGCACGUCUUGACGGUACCUAAUCAGAAAGCCACGGCUAACUACGUG